rnacentral:rRNA from 1 species
UUAACGGCCGCGGUAUUUUGACCGUGCGAAGGUAGCGCAAUCACUUGUCUUUUAAAUGAAGACCCGUAUGAAUGGCAAGACGAGGGCUUAACUGUCUCCUUUUUCAAGUCAAUGAACUUGAUCUCCCCGUGCAGAAGCGGGGCUUAAACCAUAAGACGAGAAGACCCUGUGGAGCUUUAGACACUAAGAUAGACCAUGUCACAAACCCCUGAAUUAAAGGACUGAACUGUAUGGGCCCUGUCCUAACGUCUUUGGUUGGGGCGACCACGGGGAAACACAAAACCCCCGAGUGGAAUGGGAGCACCCUCCUACAACUGAGAGCUUCCGCUCUAAUAAACAAAAUUUUUGACCAACAAGAUCCGGCAACGCCGAUUGACGAACCAAGUUACCCCAGGGAUAACAGCGCAAUCCUCUUUUAGAGUCCAUAUCGACAAGAGGGUUUACGACCUCGAUGUUGGAUCAGGACAUCCUAAU